rnacentral:rRNA from 1 species
GACGAACGCUGGAGGCGUGCUUAACACAUGCAAGUCGAACGAUGAAAUGGAGCUUGCUCCAUGGAUUAGUGGCGAACGGGUGAGUAACACGUGAAUAACCUGCCCUUAAUUUUGGAGUAACCCAGGGAAACCUGGGCUAAUACCGGAUAAGUAAACCUGUGGCAUCACAUGGUUUUGGAAAGUUUUUCGAUUAAGGAUGGAUUCGCGGCCUAUUAGCUUGUUGGUGAGGUAUUGGCUCACCAAGGCGACGGCAGGUAGCCGGCCUGAGAGGGUGAACGGCCACACUGGGACUGAGACACGGCCCAGACUCCUACGGGAGGCAGCAGUGGGGAAUAUUGCGCAAUGGACGAAAGUCUGACGCAGCGACGCCUCGUGAGGGACGAAGGUCUUCGGAUUGUAAACCUCUUUCAGCAGGGACGAAGCGAAAGUGACGGUACCUGCAGAAGAAGCACCGGCUAACUAUGUGCCAGCCGCCGCAGUAA